CCUACGGGACGCAGCAGUGGGGAAUAUUGCACAAUGGGGGAAACCCUGAUGCAGCGACGCCGCGUGAGUGAAGAAGUAUCUCGGUACGUAAAGCUCUAUCAGCAGGGAAGAAAAUGACGGUACCUGACUAAGAAGCCCCGGCUAACUACGUGCCAGCAGCCGCGGUAAUACGUAGGGGGCAAGCGUUAUCCGGAUUUACUGGGUGUAAAGGGAGCGCAGACGGCAGUGCAAGUCUGGAGUGAAAGCCCGGGGCCCAACCCCGGAACUGCUCUGGAAACUGUGCGGCUAGAGUACUGGAGGGGCAG
rnacentral:rRNA from 1 species